GCCGGGCGUGGUGGCUCACGCCUGUAAUCCCAGCACUUUGGGAGGCUGAGGUGGGCGGAUCACCUGAGUUCAGGAGUUCGAGACCAGCCUGGUCAAUAUGGUGAAACCCCAUCUCUA
rnacentral:sRNA from 1 species